rnacentral:misc_RNA from 1 species
AGGCUUAGUUGAGUUGCGUUGAGUAUUAACCAUAAAGAAACCCAUCAUGCACAAAUUUGACAUUGAAAUAAACUAUGAAUGAAUAAUUCCAACUUCUCUAGCAGCUCAGUUGAAGUCCAUUAAUAAUCACAGAAAAUAUAAUAAAAUUAAAGAACCAAAUCAAUCUAAAUGAUCAUACUGAUAUUGAAGAACAAAUAUAAAUUCAUAUCAUAUACAUUUAAGUAUUAUUAUCAAUGUGAGAAACAAUGGCAAUUUUGAACAGUUGAUUAAGCAUCUUCUCGAAAAUAUGUAGUUCCAGUCAAAUAUAUAACCUCAUAUUUCAUCUGAUUAAAUACAAGCAUAUAACUUCUAGUAGUUAAUAAUUAUUAUGCAUUAGAUAGAGAAAUUACGUUGCUUUACAAAAGCAAACCAUCCAACUUACCAAUUCAAUUAUGGAAAGUACUUGUAGUCUUGCGCGAUAAGACAAUAUAUGCUUUUUCAUUCCUUACCCUACCUCCACUCUUGCUAAACAAAGGAUAGAUUUCACAACUAAUUCCAUCACAAAAUAAGGACCUCUCAUUUUAAUUUUAAAUCAAGUGCUUUAAUUCCUCUUCUUGUUCCUCCUUGAAUAUUAUGCAUUUUACAGCCAAACUAAUCUUAAAGAGGCCUGGCUACCUUAUUUCUUUCUUCAAUAUCUUACCAUGAUAAAAUAAAUUAUUUCCUUCUAAUAAAUAUUCAAAACUCACACCCCCAAACCCCUUACAUUUACUUUAAUAGAAUUCACAAUGGCAUGCAAGUUAGUUCCACCAAUUAAGGGCGGAAAACCAUUUUCUUUAAUUCUUGUAUAGAAAAUGAUUUUUCAAUGCCCCUUCCAUUUUAUCUAUCCCAAAAUAUUUAUAAGCCGUUUCUUGCUUACACCAAAACAUCUGAAAUAUGACAUAUCUUGCACACACACACACCAAAGCUACUGCCUUGUCUAGCUAAAGAAGCCUCAUAUUACUUCUACAUUUGCAUGUCUAAAUAUUUAAUUCAACAGAGGAAGCUGGAAGCCAUGUGUAUAUAAGGACAAAUAUGCACUCUAGCAUAUAGGGAGAAGGAACCACUGUUCACCUCUUACUGGACAACUGUCAUCAGUAAGUUGAUCCAAUAUCCAGAACAAGAAAGAUGCAAAGCAACAAUGAGAGGAACAACAAAUCCUCCAUGGUUUCAUAUUGCCAUAAUGAAACUAAACCAUCAACACAGGUAAAUGGUAAGAUUCUAAGAAGGAAUAGACCUUGUGCCACUUUUCAGGGCUGAUUAAUACAAAGUUAGCUUUGCCUUUACAACAGAAAUCAAAGUUCCAUUAGCUUUCUUAAGUUGUUUGCAGUUGACUAAGGUCAAGUUCUCAAAAUGACAGUAGUAUAGACAAAAACAAUAAAUAAUCAAAAGGUCAAAAUGAAAACAAGCAUUUCCUGGAGGUUAGUACAAAGAAAAAUGUGCAGCUUACCACAUGGUUGCAACAAGAUCACUCGAGUUUGAUGGAAUAUAUAUCAAAACUGAUCACCAAGCAACAUCUUAAUAAUAGAAGGCG